rnacentral:rRNA from 1 species
AACGAACGCUGGCGGCAGGCUUAACACAUGCAAGUCGAGCGCCCCGCAAGGGGAGCGGCAGACGGGUGAGUAACGCGUGGGAAACUACCCAUCUCUACGGAAUAACGCAUGGAAACGUGUGCUAAUACCGUAUACGUCCUUCGGGAGAAAGAUUUAUCGGAGAUGGAUGGGCCCGCGUUGGAUUAGCUAGUUGGUGGGGUAAAGGCCUACCAAGGCGGCGAUCCAUAGCUGGUCUGAGAGGAUGAUCUGCCACACUGGGACUGAGACACGGCCCAGACUCCUACGGGAGGCAGCAGUGGGGAAUAUUGGACAAUGGGCGCAAGCCUGAUCCAGCCAUGCCGCGUGAGUGAUGAAGGCCCUAGGGUUGUAAGGCUCUUUCACCGGUGAAGAUAAUGACGGUAACCGGAGAAGAAGCCCCGGCUAACUUCGUGCCAGCCGCCGCAGUAACAC